rnacentral:rRNA from 2 species
CACAUGACUCUCGGCAACGGAUAUCUCGGCUCUCGCAUCGAUGAAGAACGUAGCGAAAUGCGAUACCUGGUGUGAAUUGCAGAAUCCCGCGAACCAUCGAGUCUUUGAACGCAAGUUGCGCCCGAGGCCACCUGGCUGAGGGCACGCCUGCCUGGGCGUCACGC